CCACAAAUAAACAGCCCCUUCGCUUGAGCCCCGCCAGCCCAGGGUGUCUAACUGCAGCGUCGACAUAUCCCUUGCGCAAGCUUAUAAACCUUUAUGGCCUCCUCCUUCCUGGUGUUGAGUGCUCUCGAUUCCCAGGGACACCAAUGGGAGUUGAGGGUGCUCAGUUCCAGGCCAGAUCAAUUUAUAGCUCAGGGGAUACUAGGAAGGAAGCUGAAAGGAAAAUCUACCGAAGACCCCGACCCAGCAAAUCCUUACUCACGAGAGUAGCUUUCUGCACCCAAAUAGAUCUCCUAACUGCUCACUUCCAUUGACUUCAGCGUGGCUGCUCCCAAGAAUAAAGUUACUCGCAGAGGUUGGGCUCCUGGAGUCUUUCACUACGAGGCAGGUUUUCCAAUCCUUUAAUCAUUCUUGUGGCUCUUCUCUGAACCCUCUCCACUGUAUCAACAUCCUUCCUGAAAUGUGGACACCAGAACUGGACAGAGUAUUCCAGCAGUGGUCGCACCAGUGCCAAAUACAUGGGGAAUAUGAUAACAGGAAGUUUUCUAAUAUUUGCUGCCGAUGAAGAAUUAAGGACAAUAGCUAAUCUACUGUGCGUCACAGAGUAAAUAACCCAGUGCUCAUGGUCUGUCCUCUGUCACUGUCAGGCCAUUGCUUCGGAACAGAUGACACGUGUCUUUGGGACAGCAAGUCAUAUGACAAGUUUCCACAGCUGGCUCGUUACAUUACAUUCCUGCGGUGAUCUGAGAGACAACAGAAGGCUUGACUGCGAGGCCAGGAAUUUCCUGCUAACCCCGCCAGGCUAAGCAUGGCACAGUGAACAAAUGGGCCUGGGUAACUUUUGGACAACACUAAUAACGCACUUGGUUUGUCUGUUCUGUACCUUUGGAAAAGCUGUUGUGAAAAAAAUGAGCUGUUUUUCCUGGCUUCCUCUGAAUGCUAGUGCUGAACACUUACCUAACGCUUUCCCUCUUCCACUUGCUGCGGCAGGAUUAACUAAUGAAAUCCUCACAAUACUCCAGGUGAGUCAGUGCUAUGAUCCUCAUUUUACAGAUGGGGAAACCGAGGCACAGAUCAAUGCUAUGAUAUGCAGGAGGCCACAGAUGGAGACACUGUCAGAGUGGAAGUAGGACUCAAGGGCUCAUCUGUGGUGUUUAUGGGGGUACAAGGAGGCAGCUCAAAGUAGCUUCUGUUCAUUAGGGGUGUAUGUUAUCUCGAGUGUCCUAGGUAACGAGUAACAUAUUAGGACUGCAGCUUUUAUGAAUCAAUUGCCUAAGUCACUUGUCAUUCAAUAUUGUAAUGUCUUGCUGGUUGGGAAGCUCUGCAAAUGAUCUCUCAUCACCUAAGUGAGGAGAGAGCUGUACUGCACUUAAUAGCAGGGGGGUAGAUGAAAAGUGGUGUGCACUCACUGUUGCUUUUUGGAAUAUGCUAACACACAACUGUACAUGAGCUCAGAUCACUGCCAGGCCCAGAGCAUUGUGCUCUCUCUAUAAGAGUGGAGAUCAAUCAAUCAAAUGAUUACAUGCCAUUUUUAAUCACUCUAUUUUUAGAGCUGAUGGGCCAGAUCGUCAGCUAGCGUAAAUCGGUGUAGCCCCAUGGAUGUCAGUGGAGCAAUGCCAGUUUGCACCAGCUGAGGAUCUGGCUCAGGCUGUCAAAGAGAGGUGAAUUUUUCACUCUACUGUGCUUGAGCCAUGAAAAUUCUCUCGGUAAAAAUGUGUCGUGGUGACGUUAGGGGUGAAUUAGUUCUUCUGAAGAAAGGGGGAGGGGGGGACAUCAUUCCUUUUUGCUGAUUCUCCCUUAAAAAGUAUUUGGAGGCACUUUGGGGGCACUUUUUUUUUUUUAAAUCUUCAGCAUUUUGAUCUGAAGCCUCCUUGUCAGAGACAGACUAUACAAAUAAAAUGCAAACCAAAUAAAACGCCCCCAGCCCCAGU